UCGAGCGAACAGACGAGGAGCUUGCUCCUCCGACGUUAGCGGCGGACGGGUGAGUAACACGUGGAUAACCUACCUAUAAGACUGGGAUAACUUCGGGAAACCGGAGCUAAUACCGGAUAAUAUAUUGAACCGCAUGGUUCAAUAGUGAAAGACGGUUUUGCUGUCACUUAUAGAUGGAUCCGCGCCGCAUUAGCUAGUUGGUAAGGUAACGGCUUACCAAGGCAACGAUGCGUAGCCGACCUGAGAGGGUGAUCGGCCACACUGGAACUGAGACACGGUCCAGACUCCUACGGGAGGCAGCAGUAGGGAAUCUUCCGCAAUGGGCGAAAGCCUGACGGAGCAACGCCGCGUGAGUGAUGAAGGUCUUCGGAUCGUAAAACUCUGUUAUUAGGGAAGAACAAAUGUGUAAGUAACUAUGCACGUCUUGACGGUACCUAAUCAGAAAGCCACGGCUAACUACGUGCCAGCAGCCGCGGUAAUACGUAGGUGGCAAGCGUUAUCCGGAAUUAUUGGGCGUAAAGCGCGCGUAGGCGGUUUUUUAAGUCUGAUG
rnacentral:rRNA from 1 species